GUUGAACGCUGGCGGCGUGCCUAAUACAUGCAAGUCGAGCGAACAGAUAAGGAGCUUGCUCCUUUGACGUUAGCGGCGGACGGGUGAGUAACACGUGGGUAACCUACCUAUAAGACUGGGAUAACUUCGGGAAACCGGAGCUAAUACCGGAUAAUAUUUCGAACCGCAUGGUUCGAUAGUGAAAGAUGGUUUUGCUAUCACUUAUAGAUGGACCCGCGCCGUAUUAGCUAGUUGGUAAGGUAACGGCUUACCAAGGCGACGAUACGUAGCCGACCUGAGAGGGUGAUCGGCCACACUGGAACUGAGACACGGUCCAGACUCCUACGGGAGGCAGCAGUAGGGAAUCUUCCGCAAUGGGCGAAAGCCUGACGGAGCAACGCCGCGUGAGUGAUGAAGGUCUUCGGAUCGUAAAACUCUGUUAUUAGGGAAGAACAUACGUGUAAGUAACUGUGCACGUCUUGACGGUACCUAAUCAGAAAGCCACGGCUAACUACGUG
rnacentral:rRNA from 1 species